CAGGAAUAAGAUAUACCAUAUCAUUUUGAUUCGCCCCUAUUUUAGUAAAAAGAACUAAAUCUUAUUUUUAGCUUCAAGUUGAUAUACAUUUUAUUGCAACUGUUAUAUAUUUAAAAAAAAUAAUAAUAUAGCAAUAUUAUGAUGACAUUAUUAUUUCAGAUCUCGGAAACUAGUUGUUAUUCUGUCAGACAAAUUUUUCCAAAGCCGAGAACACGAAUGGCAAUCAAACUUGGCUAUCAGUCAAGAUCCUGCAUCUCGUAAACAACGAAUCAUCCCGAUAAAAUACAAGAAAAUAAACAACCGCAACAUUUUUGAUCAUCUUGGAUGUUGUGAUCUCACUAAAACGAUGAAGGAACAAUGGUUUUGGGAUAAAAUUAUCAACGGCAUUAAGGCUUAAAUAAGCUUGAAAUAACAAAACAGCCAUCCUGUUUUACAUUUUCUACAGACUGUGCAAACAAAAACAUCUCAUAUUGCUCAACUUAAUGUCAUUGCGGAAAUGUACAAUACUGUAAUAAAGUUUA